GCUGACAUCUGUCUUAAAGGACCUGAGAAACUUUUCCCUCUAGAAACUCGUCGAAAGCCUGUUAUCAGAACCACAAGAAGAGGAACACGUGUUUCCGGUUUUCCUGCUCUUACCAAGAAGACGUUGCUCUUGAUGCUGGAAUGCCCUGAAACUGCACCACUUUGUGAUGACAUCAAACAUCAGAGAAACUACAUCCAAGGUGCCUUGGGCCUAUUUAGAAUGUACUAGGCUGUUAAAUGAG